rnacentral:rRNA from 1 species
UGGGGAAUAUUGCACAAUGGGGGAAACCCUGAUGCAGCGACGCCGCGUGAGCGAUGAAGGCUUUCGAGUCGUAAAGCUCUGUCCUAUGGGAAGAUAAUGACGGUACCAUAGAAGAAACCCCCGGCUCAUUACGUGCCAGCAGCCGCGGUAAUACGUAGGUGGCAAGCGUUGUCCGGAAUUAUUGGGCGUCACGCGCGCGCAGGUGGUUUAGACAGUCUGAUGUGAAAGCCCACGGCGCAACCGUGGAGGGUCAUUGGAAACUAAUAAACUGGAGUGCAGGAGAGAAAGGUGGGAUUCCUAGUGUAGCGGUGAAAUGCGUAGAGAUUGAGGAGAACACCGGUGGCGAGAGCGGCUUGUUGGCCUGCAACAGACACUGAGGCGCGAAAGCGUGGGGAGCAAACAGG